rnacentral:rRNA from 1 species
GGUCAAGUGAAGAAGCGCAUACGGUGGAUGCCUUGGCAGUCAGAGGCGAUGAAAGACGUGGUAGCCUGCGAAAAGCUUCGGGGAGUCGGCAAACAGACUUUGAUCCGGAGAUCUCUGAAUGGGGGAACCCACCUAGGAUAACCUAGGUAUCUUGUACUGAAUCCAUAGGUGCAAGAGGCGAACCAGGGGAACUGAAACAUCUAAGUACCCUGAGGAAAAGAAAUCAACCGAGAUUCCCUUAGUAGUGGCGAGCGAACGGGGAUUAGCCCUUAAGCUUCAUUGAUUUUAGCGGAACGCUCUGGAAAGUGCGGCCAUAGUGGGUGAUAGCCCCGUACGCGAAAGGAUCUUUGAAGUGAAAUCGAGUAGGACGGAGCACGAGAAACUUUGUCUGAACAUGGGGGGACCAUCCUCCAAGGCUAAAUACUACUGACUGACCGAUAGUGAACCAGUACCGUGAGGGAAAGGCGAAAAGAACCCCGGAGAGGGGAGUGAAAUAGAACCUGAAACCGUAUGCGUACAAGCAGUGGGAGCCUACUUGUUAGGUGACUGCGUACCUUUUGUAUAAUGGGUCAGCGACUUAUAUUCAGUGGCAAGCUUAACCGUAUAGGGUAGGCGUAGCGAAAGCGAGUCUUAAUAGGGCGUUUAGUCGCUGGGUAUAGACCCGAAACCGGGCGAUCUAUCCAUGAGCAGGUUGAAGGUUAGGUAACACUGACUGGAGGACCGAACCCACUCCCGUUGAAAAGGUAGGGGAUGACUUGUGGAUCGGAGUGAAAGGCUAAUCAAGCUCGGAGAUAGCUGGUUCUCCUCGAAAGCUAUUUAGGUAGCGCCUCAUGUAUCACUCUGGGGGGUAGAGCACUGUUUCGGCUAGGGGGUCAUCCCGACUUACCAAACCGAUGCAAACUCCGAAUACCCAGAAGUGCCGAGCAUGGGAGACACACGGCGGGUGCUAACGUCCGUCGUGAAAAGGGAAACAACCCAGACCGCCAGCUAAGGUCCCAAAGUUGUGGUUAAGUGGUAAACGAUGUGGGAAGGCUUAGACAGCUAGGAGGUUGGCUUAGAAGCAGCCACCCUUUAAAGAAAGCGUAAUAGCUCACUAGUCGAGUCGGCCUGCGCGGAAGAUGUAACGGGGCUCAAACCACACACCGAAGCUGCGGGUGUCACGUAAGUGACGCGGUAGAGGAGCGUUCUGUAAGCCUGUGAAGGUGAGUUGAGAAGCUUGCUGGAGGUAUCAGAAGUGCGAAUGCUGACAUGAGUAACGACAAUGGGUGUGAAAAACACCCACGCCGAAAGACCAAGGGUUCCUGCGCAACGUUAAUCGACGCAGGGUUAGUCGGUUCCUAAGGCGAGGCUGAAAAGCGUAGUCGAUGGGAAACAGGUUAAUAUUCCUGUACUUCUGGUUACUGCGAUGGAGGGACGGAGAAGGCUAGGCCAGCUUGGCGUUGGUUGUCCAAGUUUAAGGUGGUAGGCUGAAAUCUUAGGUAAAUCCGGGGUUUCAAGGCCGAGAGCUGAUGACGAGUCGUCUUUUAGAUGACGAAGUGGUUGAUGCCAUGCUUCCAAGAAAAGCUUCUAAGCUUCAGGUAACCAGGAACCGUACCCCAAACCGACACAGGUGGUCGGGUAGAGAAUACCAAGGCGCUUGAGAGAACUCGGGUGAAGGAACUAGGCAAAAUGGCACCGUAACUUCGGGAGAAGGUGCGCCGGCUAGGGUGAAGGAUUUACUCCGUAAGCUCUGGCUGGUCGAAGAUACCAGGCCGCUGCGACUGUUUAUUUCUUGAUCGAAGCCCCGGUAAACGGCGGCCGUAACUAUAACGGUCCUAAGGUAGCGAAAUUCCUUGUCGGGUAAGUUCCGACCUGCACGAAUGGCGUAACGAUGGCGGCGCUGUCUCCACCCGAGACUCAGUGAAAUUGAAAUCGCUGUGAAGAUGCAGUGUAUCCGCGGCUAGACGGAAAGACCCCGUGAACCUUUACUGUAGCUUUGCACUGGACUUUGAGCCUGCUUGUGUAGGAUAGGUGGGAGGCUUUGAAGCGUGGACGCCAGUUCGCGUGGAGCCAUCCUUGAAAUACCACCCUGGCAUGCUUGAGGUUCUAACUCUGGUCCGUAAUCCGGAUCGAGGACAGUGUAUGGUGGGCAGUUUGACUGGGGCGGUCUCCUCCUAAAGAGUAACGGAGGAGUACGAAGGUGCGCUCAGACCGGUCGGAAAUCGGUCGCAGAGUAUAAAGGCAAAAGCGCGCUUGACUGCGAGACAGACACGUCGAGCAGGUACGAAAGUAGGUCUUAGUGAUCCGGUGGUUCUGUAUGGAAGGGCCAUCGCUCAACGGAUAAAAGGUACUCCGGGGAUAACAGGCUGAUACCGCCCAAGAGUUCAUAUCGACGGCGGUGUUUGGCACCUCGAUG